rnacentral:rRNA from 1 species
AGCAGCCGCGGUAAUUCCAGCUCCAAUAGCGUAUAUUAAAGUUGUUGCAGUUAAAAAGCUCGUAGUUGAAUUUCGGGAUCAAUACGUCGGUCGUGCUUCGGUACGUACUAACGUCAUUGGUUUCUCCCUUCUGACGAACCAUGAUGCCAUUAAUUUGGUGUUAUGGGAAAUCAGGACUGUUACUUUGAAAAAAUUAGAGUGUUUAAAGCAGGCUCACGCUUGAAUACAUUAGCAUGGAAUAAUGAAAUAGGACGUUCGACCCUAUUUUGUUGGUUUCUAGGAUCAACGUAAUGAUUAAUAGGGAUAGUUGGGGGCAUUAGUAUUCAAUUGUCAGAGGUGAAAUUCUUGGAUUUAUUGAAGACUAACUACUGCGAAAGCAUUUGCCAAGGAUGUUUUCAUUAAUCAAGAACGAAAGUUAGGGGAUCGAAGACGAUCAGAUACCGUCGUAGUCUUAACCAUAAACUAUGCCGACUAGGGAUCGGAUGAUGUUAAUUUUUUAAUGACUCAUUCGGCGCCUUACG